UUAAGUUAUUAAGGGCGCACGGUGGAUGCCUUGGCACUAGAAGCCGAUGAAGGACGUUACUAACGACGAUAUGCUUUGGGGAGCUGUAAGUAAGCUUUGAUCCAGAGAUUUCCGAAUGGGGAAACCCAGCAUGAGUUAUGUCAUGUUAUCGAUAUGUGAAUACAUAGCAUAUCAGAAGGCACACCCGGAGAACUGAAACAUCUUAGUACCCGGAGGAAGAGAAAGAAAAUUCGAUUCCCUUAGUAGCGGCGAGCGAAACGGGAAGAGCCCAAACCAAAAAGCUUGCUUGUUGGGGUUGUAGGACACUCUAUACGGAGUUACAAAGGACGACAUUAGACGAAUCAUCUGGAAAGAUGAAUCAAAGAAGGUAAUAAUCCUGUAGUCGAAAAUGUUGUCUCUCUUGAGUGGAUCCUGAGUACGACGGAGCACGUGAAAUUCCGUCGGAAUCUGGGAGGACCAUCUCCUAAGGCUAAAUACUCUCUAGUGACCGAUAGUGAACCAGUACCGUGAGGGAAAGGUGAAAAGCACCCCGGAAGGGGAGUGAAAUAGAACCUGAAACCGUGUGCUUACAAGUAGUCAGAGCCCGUUAAUGGGUGAUGGCGUGCCUUUUGUAGAAUGAACCGGCGAGUUACGAUUUGAUGCAAGGUUAAGCAGUAAAUGUGGAGCCGUAGCGAAAGCGAGUCUGAAUAGGGCGUUUAGUAUUUGGUCGUAGACCCGAAACCAGGUGAUCUACCCUUGGUCAGGUUGAAGUUCAGGUAACACUGAAUGGAGGACCGAACCGACUUACGUUGAAAAGUGAGCGGAUGAACUGAGGGUAGCGGAGAAAUUCCAAUCGAACCUGGAGAUAGCUGGUUCUCUCCGAAAUAGCUUUAGGGCUAGCCUCAAGUGAUGAUUAUUGGAGGUAGAGCACUGUUUGGACGAGGGGCCCCUCUCGGGUUACCGAAUUCAGACAAACUCCGAAUGCCAAUUAAUUUAACUUGGGAGUCAGAACAUGGGUGAUAAGGUCCGUGUUCGAAAGGGAAACAGCCCAGACCACCAGCUAAGGUCCCAAAAUAUAUGUUAAGUGGAAAAGGAUGUGGCGUUGCCCAGACAACUAGGAUGUUGGCUUAGAAGCAGCCAUCAUUUAAAGAGUGCGUAAUAGCUCACUAGUCGAGUGACACUGCGCCGAAAAUGUACCGGGGCUAAACAUAUUACCGAAGCUGUGGAUUGUCCUUUGGACAAUGGUAGGAGAGCGUUCUAAGGGCGUUGAAGCAUGAUCGUAAGGACAUGUGGAGCGCUUAGAAGUGAGAAUGCCGGUGUGAGUAGCGAAAGACGGGUGAGAAUCCCGUCCACCGAUUGACUAAGGUUUCCAGAGGAAGGCUCGUCCGCUCUGGGUUAGUCGGGUCCUAAGCUGAGGCCGACAGGCGUAGGCGAUGGAUAACAGGUUGAUAUUCCUGUACCACCUAUAAUCGUUUUAAUCGAUGGGGGGACGCAGUAGGAUAGGCGAAGCGUGCGAUUGGAUUGCACGUCUAAGCAGUAAGGCUGAGUAUUAGGCAAAUCCGGUACUCGUUAAGGCUGAGCUGUGAUGGGGAGAAGACAUUGAGUCUUCGAGUCGUUGAUUUCACACUGCCGAGAAAAGCCUCUAGAUAGAAAAUAGGUGCCCGUACCGCAAACCGACACAGGUAGUCAAGAUGAGAAUUCUAAGGUGAGCGAGCGAACUCUCGUUAAGGAACUCGGCAAAAUGACCCCGUAACUUCGGGAGAAGGGGUGCUCUUUAGGGUUAACGCCCAGAAGAGCCGCAGUGAAUAGGCCCAAGCGACUGUUUAUCAAAAACACAGGUCUCUGCUAAACCGUAAGGUGAUGUAUAGGGGCUGACGCCUGCCCGGUGCUGGAAGGUUAAGAGGAGUGGUUAGCUUCUGCGAAGCUACGAAUCGAAGCCCCAGUAAACGGCGGCCGUAACUAUAACGGUCCUAAGGUAGCGAAAUUCCUUGUCGGGUAAGUUCCGACCCGCACGAAAGGCGUAACGAUUUGGGCACUGUCUCAACGAGAGACUCGGUGAAAUCAUAGUACCUGUGAAGAUGCAGGUUACCCGCGACAGGACGGAAAGACCCCGUGGAGCUUUACUGUAGCCUGAUAUUGAAAUUCGGCACAGCUUGUACAGGAUAGGUAGGAGCCUUUGAAACGUGAGCGCUAGCUUACGUGGAGGCGCUGGUGGGAUACUACCCUAGCUGUGUUGGCUUUCUAACCCGCACCACUUAUCGUGGUGGGAGACAGUGUCAAGCGGGCAGUUUGACUGGGGCGGUCGCCUCCUAAAAGGUAACGGAGGCGCUCAAAGGUUCCCUCAGAAUGGUUGGAAAUCAUUCAUAGAGUGUAAAGGCAUAAGGGAGCUUGACUGCGAGACCUACAAGUCGAGCAGGGUCGAAAGACGGACUUAGUGAUCCGGUGGUUCCGCAUGGAAGGGCCAUCGCUCAACGGAUAAAAGCUACCCCGGGGAUAACAGGCUUAUCUCCCCCAAGAGUUCACAUCGACGGGGAGGUUUGGCACCUCGAUGUCGGCUCAUCGCAUCCUGGGGCUGUAGUCGGUCCCAAGGGUUGGGCUGUUCGCCCAUUAAAGCGGUACGCGAGCUGGGUUCAGAACGUCGUGAGACAGUUCGG
rnacentral:rRNA from 1 species